AACAAGCGGUUCGACAAUUCGCGCUAGUCGCUUUUCAAGUGGCUGAUUGGCUUGAACGAAGAAUCAAUUUCGGACAUCAGAUCUUCGAAUGACUCCAAGUUCAUUCGCAUUGUUUCAUUGACGCUGACAUUUUUGCAAUUGCAUAAGAUCAUCUCGGCUCAUGAAGCGAAUACCAUUCGACAGAUGGAAAUGGAACAAAACAUUAAAACUGAACUCGCUCUGCCAAGCGGAAGCUCGCCACCUACAAAGCUUAAUCAACAAUUUACCAACAUUGACGGUGCAUGGGCUCAAACGGCACACAAAUACACAAUUGCUUACGAGAUCAUUUGCCAUUGCCUUGAAGUGUCCGGCUUACGACGAGAAACGGCACCGAUUUUGUUCGAUGCACCCGAAUUCAAUGCACGCAUGCAACGAAUGGAAAGUGACUCGAACCCGAGUGUGAUGCACCAAAUGCAGAACUUUCGACUAUGAUGACAUUGACCACAUUUCCACAGCAAUUGAGUUCUUCAAUAAAUUCUACAAUAAAUAUUCAAUCUUAAAGUUAAAAUUUCCACACACAUUUUCCAAAAUUGACAAAAAAGGCAUCAUUAUUUGUCUUCGUUUCAUAAAAUAGGCUACGAGUUAAUAUUUUUUAUAUACAAUCUUCAUUUUGACUUGAUUUUGUGUUAAAGAGUUCAUG